UUAGCAGGGGAUAACAUUUGGAAACAGAUGCUAAUACCGUAUAACAAUGACAACCGCAUGGUUGUUAUUUAAAAGAUGGUUCUGCUAUCACUAAGAGAUGGUCCCGCGGUGCAUUAGCUAGUUGGUAAGGUAAUGGCUUACCAAGGCGAUGAUGCAUAGCCGAGUUGAGAGACUGAUCGGCCACAAUGGGACUGAGACACGGCCCAUACUCCUACGGGAGGCAGCAGUAGGGAAUCUUCCACAAUGGGCGAAAGCCUGAUGGAGCAACGCCGCGUGUGUGAUGAAGGGUUUCGGCUCGUAAAACACUGUUGUAAGAGAAGAAUGACAUUGAGAGUAACUGUUCAAUGUGUGACGGUAUCUUACCAGAAAGGAACGGCUAAAUACGUG
rnacentral:rRNA from 1 species